rnacentral:rRNA from 1 species
UUUUUCGCUUGAGGAUGAGCCCAUGUGGGAUUAGCUAGUUGGUGAGGUAAUGGCUCACCAAGGCUACGAUCCCUAACUGGUCUUAGAGGAUGAUCAGUCACACUGGAACUGAGACACGGUCCAGACUCCUACGGGAGGCAGCAGUAGGGAAUAUUGCACAAUGGAGGAAACUCUGAUGCAGCGACGCCGCGUGAGUGAUGAAGGCCUUCGGGUCGUAAAGCUCUGUCGUAUGGGACUAACACAAUG